AUAGUAAAGAGAGAUAUAGAUCUUCCUCCAACUAUGAAAAUAUGAGUUUAAAAUUUAUUAACAAUAAAUUAAUAUCAAACCCUUUAUUCAUCUAAUAUAAUAAUUAUGUAAUUAUUUAUUAAAAUUAAAGUUUUACUCAUCUAUGAAUGAUAGUUUUACUAAAAAAAAAUACUAAAAAAAAAAAAAUGUUACACGAGGUGGGAAGCUUGGUAACCGAUGCACGACCUAAUGAUGAUGCUCUUAUCUUGGAAAUAAUGGAAGCUGUAAAAUUUGGGUGGUGAGCAGAAUAAACGGCAACAUCGUCAUAAGCUUAAAAAGUCACGAUUAGUGUCUGUAGGAGUGAGUAAGAUGAGCAGAAAUCAGAGCAGUGAUACCAAAUUCGAACCAGGGCCAGCUUGCAAAUAUGUAUAGUGUGUGGGCUUGUUGGACAUUAACCGAUCAUUGCAACAAAAUAUCUUCACUCUGUACGCAUUUUUCGAUUUUAAUAAAAAAUAACUUCUCUCUCUUUCUUCUGGGCUCUCUGCCUUCUCUCUUUCUUCUCUUCAUUUUCUUCGUUAGAUCUGUGAUUUACCUUUAGUAUUUUCUUGCAGAAUUAGUGUUUCUUAAGCUUCAUCUAACAAUCUAAGCAGUCACACACAGUUACUCUCCGCCACGCUUCCUCUUUCUUCCUCCUUUGCAAGUGGAGAUGAAGAAAAAGAAGAAAAAGCUAGAGGCCAAUGGGUAUUAGCAUAUAAUUAUAUGCUCUCUUCAUUUAUUGGUAUGGGAGGAGUUGGCAAGAAAACGUUUAUCCGUCGAAGCUCCGAUGGCAGCCUUCAAGUUUGUCUGUUGAAGCUUUAAUGACAAUAUUAAGGAUGGAUAGAUGGAUAAACACAGAAAUAUUAUUGAAUAUACUAUGAGCUUCAGAAUAAGUGGUGGUGAUUAUGUUAUGUCUGAAAAUUUUAUUAAAUAGUUAAAAUGUGAUAAUGAGUGCAUUCUGAAUACUCUAGUGAGGUGGACUUCAAAUUUUUUGUGGCAUGAUUCAGGUGAUGUUGCAUUACACAUUGAAUGCAAGAAAAACACCAGUAGACAUGUAUUAGUGCGA